UUCGAGACUUUUUUUGGAGGGGAAGCUUUGUUAGGGUGCUCUGUGUAGCUGUUCUGCCUUGCCUCUGCCGUUCCUCUGUCCCAACCAAGGUCACUCCCCUGCCCGCCUGUCGUCGCCACGAGGUGUGAAGGGCGCAGGAGAAAUAAAUACGAGGUGCCGUGGAAACAAGAGGUUUGCUUGUGUGGCGAGGUAUUGGGAGCAAGGCGGAGGGCUGGUUGGAUAUCUGUACGGAGUCAUCGAUACAGAUGAGAUAUAGUGUGCAAUGGAUGAGAAAGACUGGGGAUGAAGACUUGUACUGUGCUUGGCGCCAACCUCUGACACGUGAGAAAAAGGAGAGGAGAAAAGAACAACAACAACAACAACAACAAGGGAAACAACAGUGUCAAUAACAACAACAACAACAACAACAACAACAACAACAAUGAGGAAGAAAAGACUGCAUUCAAAGUCUGCGAAAUAUCUGCAGUCAGUGAUGGCGCAAGUGAGCCUGAAUGGGUGGGUGUUGCGAGCAGUGAGGCAAGCAGGUCACGGGGCCACACCUUCACGGCGGGGCACCAUGACUCGAAUCAUGAAGGAAUGAAGCCUUAAGUUAAUGCGAUUUGCUAGUCAGUGGCCCCUGUCUGCAGGCCCGUGCCCUCUGCCGGGACAGGAUCCUCCACCUCCACCAUCACCACCACCGCCACCAACGUCGCGGACACUAUCUUAUUGAGGACAAG